rnacentral:rRNA from 1 species
GAUGAACGCUGGCGGCGUGCCUAAUACAUGCAAGUCGAGCGAACAGACGCGGAUCUUGCUCCUCUGACGUUAGCGGCGGACGGGUGAGUAACACGUGUAUAACCUACCUAUCAUACUGGGAUCACUUCGGGACACCGGCUCUAAUACCGUAUAAUAUAUUGAACCGCGUGGUUCAAUAGAGAAAUACGGUUUUGCUGUCACUUCUAGCUGGUUCCGCGCCGGAUUAGCUAGUUGUUAAGGUAACGGCUUACCAAGGCAACCAUGCGUAGCCGACCGGAGAGGGGGAUAGGCCACCCUGGAACUGAGACACGGUCAAGACUCCUACGGGAGGCAGCAGUCGGGAAUGUUACGCAAUGGGCGAAAGCAUGACGGAGCAACGCCGCGUGAGUGACGACGGUCUUCGGAGCGUAAAACUCUGUUACUAGGGAAGAACAAAUGUGUAAGGAAACAUGCACGUAGUGACGGUACCUAAUAAGAAAGCACCGGCUAACUACGUG